rnacentral:rRNA from 1 species
AUCCGGGCGCGGAAUUCAAGGGUGCGAGGCCAGUCGCUUAGGCGACGAAGCAAUCGGAAGUGGUUCCAAGAAAAGCCUCUAAGCUUCAGUUUAACAGGACCGUACCGCAAACCGACACAGGUGGGCGAGAUGAGUAUUCUAAGGCGCUUGAGAGAACUCGGGAGAAGGAACUCGGCAAAUUGGUACCGUAACUUCGGGAUAAGGUACGCCCCUGUAGCUUGAUGCCCCUGCGGGCAGAGGGUGAAGGGGUUGCAAUAAACUGGUGGCUGCGACUGUUUAAUAAAAACACAGCACUCUGCAAACACGAAAGUGGACGUAUAGGGUGUGACGCCUGCCCGGUGCCGGAAGGUUAAGAGGAGAGGUGAGAGCUUUGAAUCGAAGCCCCGGUAAACG